rnacentral:rRNA from 1 species
CUUGCUUCUCUUGAGAGCGGCGGACGGGUGAGUAAUGCCUAGGAAUCUGCCUGGUAGUGGGGGAUAACGUUCGGAAACGGACGCUAAUACCGCAUACGUCCUACGGGAGAAAGCAGGGGACCUUCGGGCCUUGCGCUAUCAGAUGAGCCUAGGUCGGAUUAGCUAGUUGGUGAGGUAAUGGCUCACCAAGGCGACGAUCCGUAACUGGUCUGAGAGGAUGAUCAGUCACACUGGAACUGAGACACGGUCCAGACUCCUACGGGAGGCAGCAGUGGGGAAUAUUGGACAAUGGGCGAAAGCCUGAUCCAGCCAUGCCGCGUGUGUGAAGAAGGUCUUCGGAUUGUAAAGCACUUUAAGUUGGGAGGAAGGGCAGUAAAUUAAUACUUUGCUGUUUUGACGUUACCGACAGAAUAAGCACCGGCUAACUCUGUGCCAGCAGCCGCGGUAAUACAGAGGGUGCAAGCGUUAAUCGGAAUUACUGGGCGUAAAGCGCGCGUAGGUGGUUCGUUAAGUUGGAUGUGAAAUCCCCGGGCUCAACCUGGGAACUGCAUUCAAAACUGACGAGCUAGAGUAUGGUAGAGGGUGGUGGAAUUUCCUGUGUAGCGGUGAAAUGCGUAGAUAUAGGAAGGAACACCAGUGGCGAAAGCGACCACCUGGACUGAUACUGACACUG